GGGGGCGUAGCUCAGCUGGUUAGAGCGCCGGCCUGUCACGCCGGAGGCCGCGGGUUCGAGUCCCGUCGCUCCCG
rnacentral:tRNA from 2 species